CCUACGGGUGGCAGCAGUGGGGAAUAUUGCACAAUGGGCGAAACCCUGAUGCAGCGACGCCGCGUGAGUGAAGAAGGAAUUCGGUAUGUAAAGCUCUAUCAGCAGGGAAGAAAAUGCCGGUACCUGAGUAAGAAGCCCCGGCUAACUACGUGCCAGCAGCCGCGGUAAUACGUAGGGGGAAAGCGUUAUCCGGAUUUACGGGGUGUAAAGGGAGCGUAGACGGCAGUGCAAGUCUGGAGUGAAAGGCGGGGGCUCAACCCGAGAACUGCUCUGGAUACUGUACGGCUGGAGUGCAGUAGAGGUAAGUGGAAUUCCUGGUGUAGCGGUGAAAUGCGUAGAUAUUAGGAGGAAUACCAGUGGCGAAGGCGGCUUACUGGACGGUAACUGACGUUGAGGCGCGAAAGCGUGGGGAGCAAACAGGAUUAGAUACCCUAGUAGUC
rnacentral:rRNA from 1 species